ACAUUCAGUGCUGGUUGCUAUACAGAGCGAGAGUUAUUACCCUAUUGAAAAUAAAGUUUUCUAAAGUAUUUUUAAUAAAAAUAAUCAUUUUGAGCAGCUGUGUAUUCGACGUAUUCGAAUCUCUAUGCUAGUGCAGUUUCUUUUAAAGCUUUGCUUUUAAUCAAUUUUUUUUAGCUGCUCUGUAUUCAACAAAGGAUCGCUAAGCAAGCAAAGUUCAUAAUGCCCGUUCUUGUGAGGAAUAUCAACAAAGCACCCGCCUGGGAAUUGUAUCUGCGCCUUAUGCGCACCAUUGAUAAGCUUAUUGCUGCUUUUUACAGAGCGCAAUGCUCAAUGGACAAGCAAUCCAACGCUGUGGAGCUUACUAAAGCGUUAAUCAAGAUGGCCCAAUUGAUCGAGGUGCAGACUGCAUUGCUUAGACAUGUUGUGAUACUAUUCAAAUCUAGCUCAGUUGGAUUGAACUAAAGCAAAUUAUUUUUAUUAGUUGGCAACUCAUUGUCAACUCAAUUCGAAUUUAUGUUUGCCUAUGGACAACUUUAAAAAGUUGCAGCUAAAUAUUAUUGAAUAUAAAGAUUGAAUUAAA